AUUGAACGCUGGCGGCAUGCCUUACACAUGCAAGUCGAACGGCAGCACGGGGGCAACCCUGGUGGCGAGUGGCGAACGGGUGAGUAAUGCAUCGGAACGUGUCCUCUUGUGGGGGAUAACCAGUCGAAAGAUUGGCUAAUACCGCAUGAGAUCGAGAGAUGAAAGCGGGGGACCGAGGGCAACUUCGGGCCUCGCGCGAGAGGAGUGGCCGAUGCCGGAUAGCUAGUUGGUGGGGUAAAGCCUACCAAGGCGACGAUCCGUAGCUGGUCUGAGAGGACGACCAGCCACACUGGGACUGAGACACGGCCCAGACUCCUACGGGAGGCAGCAGUAAGGAAUAUUGCGCAAUGGGCGAAAGACCUGACGC
rnacentral:rRNA from 1 species